rnacentral:rRNA from 1 species
CUACGGGACGCACCAGGCGCGAAACCUUUACAAUGCACGAAAGUGUGAUAAGGGGAUCCAAAGUGCCUAUACAUUGUAUAGGCUUUUGCCAAAGUUAAAUCCUUUGGCGAAUAAGUGGUGGGAAAGACUGGUGCCAGCCGCCGCGGUAACACCAGCGCCACAAGUGGCAACCACGUUUAUUGGGCCUAAAGCGUUCGUAGCCGGUUUAAUAAAUCUUUUGUGAAAUUGUCUGGCUUAACUAAACAACGUGCAAAGGACACUGUUAAACUCGAGACCGGGAGGAGCUGAGAGUAUUCUUGGGGGAGCGGUAAAAUGUGAUAAUCCCUAGAAGACUACCUGUGGCGAAGGCGCUCAGCUAGAACGGAUCUGACGGUGAGGGACGAAAGCCAGGGGAGCGAUCCGGAUUAGAUACCCUUGUAGUC